rnacentral:lncRNA from 1 species
AGCCUGUGCAUUUCCUGCCUAAAGCGGAAGCUUUCAGAAAUCUCUCCGUGGAGGUUCUUCCUUACUGUCCCAGUCAGAGUUCCCGAACCCUGUUCCAUGAGCGGACUCACGGACUACAACCCCUGGCGCCCAAAUGCGGGGCUCACGUAUACUAAGUAUUGAAGCUGCAUAACCUAAACUACCUUUCCAGAAGACACCCACCCACAUUGUCAAUGCACCACCAAAGGACAGGGAAAAGUCAUGCCCAGAGAAAUCCAAGGUUGGGAUGAAAGACAGCCAGGGAGCCAGUCAGAUUCCAGGAGCCUGCAUGGGGAGAAGGAACCUAAUAAAAGGAGUUACAGACAAGAAAUCCGUAAUAGAAGAUCUACCAUACACUUCCGGGGUGACUAUGGAAUCAGGUUUCUAUGAAACACAACACAAAGGAUUUGCUUCCAAGUAACCAUAAUGAGUUGCCAUCCCUGAGCAUUCCAAAAGCAGUGCCCAACAUCUGGCAGAACUCGGAAAGUUGCCAGGGACAAUUGUAUGAGCCGAGUAAUCUAGAAUCAAUGGUCACCUUGCCAACUAUAUAAAAUGGACUCAGAUGCCCUAGAUUCAUUUACUCCUGUGGAUUCUCUGGAGCUGUUAACCAAAACCUCAAUUUCAUAAAAUAGAACUCCUCUCUAAGUAAGCGUAAUGGUAUAUUUCAGUCACAUGAUCACUUAACCACAUUGACAAUGAUAAGCUUUUUAAAGAUGUGUAAUUGCUUUCAGGUUUUUGUUUUAUCUUUGAAAAUAAAAAAGGUUAAACCACU